GUGAACGCUGGCGGUAGGCCUAACACAUGCAAGUCGAACGGCAGCACAGUAAGAGCUUGUUCUUACGGGUGGCGAGUGGCGGACGGGUGAGGAAUACAUCGGAAUCUACUUUUUCGUGGGGGAUAACGUAGGGAAACUUACGCUAAUACCGCAUACGACCUACGGGUGAAAGCAGGGGAUCUUCGGACCUUGCGCGAUUGAAUGAGCCGAUGUCGGAUUAGCUAGUUGGCGGGGUAAAGGCCCACCAAGGCGACGAUCCGUAGCUGGUCUGAGAGGAUGAUCAGCCACACUGGAACUGAGACACGGUCCAGACUCCUACGGGAGGCAGCAGUGGGGAAUAUUGGACAAUGGGCGCAAGCCUGAUCCAGCCAUACCGCGUGGGUGAAGAAGGCCUUCGGGUUGUAAAGCCCUUUUGUUGGGAAAGAAAAGCAGCAGGUUAAUACCCCGCUGUUCUGACGGUACCCAAAGAAUAAGCACCGGCUAACUUCGUG
rnacentral:rRNA from 1 species